rnacentral:rRNA from 1 species
UACGUAGGGGGCAAGCGUUGUCCGGAUUUAUUGGGCGUAAAGAGCGUGUAGGCGGCCAGACAGGUCCGUUGUGAAAACUCGAGGCUCAACCUCGAGACGUCGACGGAAACCGUCUGGCUAGAGUCCGGAAGAGGAGUGUGGAAUUCCUGGUGUAGCGGUGAAAUGCGCAGAUAUCAGGAAGAACACCGGUGGCGAAAGCGCUCUGCUAGGCCGCAACUGACACUGAGGGACGAAAGCUAGGGGAGCGAAUGGG